rnacentral:rRNA from 1 species
UACGGAGGGUGCAAGCGUUAAUCGGAAUUACUGGGCGUAAAGCGUGCGCAGGCGGUUUGUUAAGUCCGCUGUGAAAUCCCCGAGCUCAACUUGGGAAUUGCAGUGGAUACUGGCAAGCUGGAGUACGGUAGAGGAAGGUGGAAUUCCCGGUGUAGCAGUGAAAUGCGUAGAGAUCGGGAGGAACACCAGUGGCGAAGGCGGCUCUUUGGUCUGUAACUGACGCUGAGGCGCGAAAGCGUGGGGAGCGAACAGG